GCACAGAGAACAAACAGAGCUUUCAGAUCUUAGAUACCUCUGCAAGACUUCGUUGGAGGUGACCAAAGAGCUGAGCAAAUGCUGGGCAAAGUCUAAGUCUCUGCACUGAACUGCCUUUUCUUUUGGACGAAGAGGGAUGGACAGCCUAUUUUUGAAGCCUCUCUGAUCUGCUCUCUGGAUUUGUCAGUGGAGGCUUGUUGGAUCAUAUCACCAGGACCUUUCUCUGCCUGACCUGAGAGUCAGUCUUGUCAGCGGAGUGCUGUUGGCAUUAAGACUCAGAUCUGGAUGCUCUCUCCCUCCUCUCUGGCUGAGCUAUUUGCCCCCAGUCCAAAGGAAGCUCCAACACAAGGAAUGGCUGAGCCCCUUCGGUGCAGUUGGUAGCAAAGCAUUGGAUGAGUGGAUGAUUCUUUCUCAGGAGAUUCACCAAACAUCAGCUGCCAUAGGAAAUGAGGUUUUCAACUCUUUCUUUUAGGUAGAUUCAGGCCAGUCAUGUUGGAGGUCCCUAGUCACCAUGAGAGAAUAGCUUAUGGGAACUGUGCUACCUGGCUGCUGCAUACUUAGGCAUCUAUAGCUCCCCAAGAGCAAAGCAGCUGGAUUUUGCCUUUGUGGUUAGCUUACUUUCCCUUUAGUGCUUAAAUUCUACAUAAACUACCCUUUCAAGGCUUUUCAGGCAGCUCACUGCAGUCUCCAUUGUUUGAUGCCUGGUUUUUGGGUGGGCAUUUCACUGAAAGAGAAAUCCCACUGUAACUUGUGACUUAUUUUAACCACCUGCCUGACCCUUCUAGAUAAACACUGGAUUCCUCUACAAAUACCUAUUAACUCUGCAAGGCAUUGUCUAGAAGAUAUUAAUAGAUUAUCCCUCGAGAAAAGUGUUGCUAUAUUCAGCAGAGUACCAGACAUGUUGCUGGGGAAAAAUAGAUAUUAAAACUCAGUUUUAAUAAAGGAUGUACAACUGGAAUUUUGAAGAAUAAAGCUCCAGAAUGAUAAAACAUGAAAUGCUUUAUAACAACGGAGAUCCUUGUCAGCUGCUCUGAAGCCUCAGCAGGACCAAGUGGUUGCCUAGUUUACUUCUGCUGGUAGACCAACAUCAACAUGCGCUCCUCUUGUUAGAGGUGGCUACCAGACCAACCAUUCUUCAUUGCCAUGUCCCUUCCUGGUCUAGGCAGAAUGACCCAGCCUUGCUCUUACCUUUUAUUGGAAUUUCUUUUCUUGUCAUGACUGUACACUAGAACUCCACACAGCUCUGCCUAGAGUUAGGUAGUUUCCUCUCCCUUCCUCACUGAAGUAUCUUGAUUAGUAUUUCAGUUGUAUAUUUCAAUGGGGACAUCCCUGACUGUGCUCCUUUGUUGUAGUUUCCUUAAGACUUAGUAAUACAAUAUUGUGCAUAAUGAGAAAUAUUAACUGUAUAAGCAUCUUUCAAAGAUGGAUAAUAUUCAUUUUGCUCCAAGCUUUCUAUGAAGUCUACAUGUGUCCUGGAGGACAAAAGAGAGUUUUGAGGACAUGCUUGCCAAGACUGCACAUUUCCAUCCUUUCCCUCCUGCACAUACCCACAUAUGCAUAUACACACUUCAUUAGAUUAAGAGAAGCCCUGGGGGAUGCUGUCACAGCUGCCUACAUCCUUUUCUCGUAUCUAGCCUUUAGACCCAAAUAUGAUAAUACUUUACACAAGCUCUGCCAUACCUAGAGAACCUCAGACAAAAGACUGUAUUAUCUCCAGUAAAAAACAUUGCUGAAGAUGCUGGAGUUAUAUGGCAAGAGCAUGAAAUCAGAAUCAGGCUCAAGUUUUCAAGGUUUGCUCUGAAUUUUCUAGCUUUUGUGGUUAGAAUCCAGAUCCUUAACAUUAUUUUAACAUAGGUUUUGCAUUUAUAUUUAUAAACACAGAGAACUGCUGCCUAUUUGAGUUUAGAAUAGAUUGUGGUAUAAACAUAUUUCCUCUUUACACAUUAUAAUCAGUGCACAAUGGCCUGCUUUAUGUAAAACAUAUCACAGUCUUUGCUUCUCUGCAUGUGCUCGCAUGCACAUAUAGCUUAAAUUAACUAACUUAAUAUUCUCAUGAUGUGUUCAAAGAGGAGAUCUGUGAAUGAGGUAGGGAAAGAUGGUCUUGCAGUUCCUAUUUUGGAUUCUGAGAUUAAACACUGUAUUUAGUGAAACAUUUAAUGAUGAUUCAUUUUAACAGGCUUUUGGUUGAUGACUUAUUUAUAAUUUCAUCAACCAAACACUUCCCUUGACAGAGUAUGUUUUGGCUCACUGUUGCUCCUGACAGCUAUGUAGAACAAUCUGUAGUAAAUGUGUCCUUUGGAAAAUUAGCCAAACAUCAUUCCAAUGCAAUGACUCUGUAGGCGAUAAGAUGAAAAUGAUUAGUUACAGUUCAUUGAAUACUGCCCCAAACCUGUUCAAAACUACUGCUUGGCAUAAUCCCUGAGAAGGUGUUUUGGCUUCUUUCACAGCAUUGCUAAAAAAUAGUUGAAAUCAAAACUGAGUUUUGCUUAAAGGGUGAAUCAAUAAAAAAAUAUUGGGCUGAAUUUUUCUAGUGUUGUCUUGCAGAAUCUGUCCUAAUUCUGCAAGAUUUUUUGCUUAACUUGGAGUAUGUGAAUUUACUUACACAUUCAUGUUUUUAUAGUAAGAUGUUUUGGUUGAUGGCAUUGCACUGUAACGUUACUUUCAGUGCAAAUGCAGAAAGAAAAGCGCCUAAUUCCUACACAGCAGAGAGGAGAGAAAAAGGAGACAGAAAGUUUCUGCGACACCAUAGACGGGGCUCCCAUAGGACGUAACAAGUAUGUUACUGACUGAGCACCAACAGAGGUGUUGGAACACUGAAAUCUGUAACUGGAGUGACAUCUGCAACACACAAAUGAUGGCAGGAUUGUGCAGGGCUCAUGUCAGGCACUAUCCUGCUCCCAGGAAGAGCAGCUGAAGAAAAUUCAAUAUCCUGUGGCACUCUAUCAAAAAAAAGAUAAAAAAUCUGGAGUUUUGGGACAAAGUGCUUAUUUAUGAUCUCUGCUGGGUGCCUGUUCCCACUGCAUCUGUCCACGGACUAUUUGUAAGCCAAAAAAAAGAACUGCACUUUCAAUCCAUUUUGCCAGAGACCAAACAGAGCUGCAGUGCUGGGGGCUGGAAACACUGGCAGCUUCCCACUCAGGUGCACUUUCCCUCUGCACUCUCCCCUGCAUCCACAUCACCACCCCUGGCAGCUCAUCACUGCAGGUGGCAGGGAUGGCUUUGUAGUGCCCUGGUCUUCAGUCUGACAUGAGGAAGGCUGCCAUGGGCACUGGUGCUCUCUGCUGUUGUUUUCAACAACAUUAAUCCUGCUACUUUCACCCGCAGACUGGCUGCAACGUGAAGGGGUCAGGUCUGUGUUUUUCCCCUGGCUCCUUUCCCACCCAACCCUGGGUGCUCUGGGUGGCCUCGGGGACACAGUGUUACUUGGAGCAAAGCGUGAAGGGGCAAAGGUGAAGUCACAGAGGACAUCACUCCUUCUCUUCACCUUCAUUCAGCAGGGUAACACUGCAUUGUUCUGCUUAUCUGCACAAGACUGUAAGGAUAUAAUUUUUUUGUCUAAAGUGCAGGAAAGAUGUGAUUUCCCAAGCCGUGGCUGACAUUAAAGUUUGCAUUUUGUACUUACA